rnacentral:rRNA from 1 species
CAGCAGCCGCGGUAAUACGGAGGGGGCUAGCGUUGUUCGGAAUUACUGGGCGUAAAGCGCACGUAGGCGGCUUGGUAAGUUAGAGGUGAAAGCCUGGAGCUCAACUCCAGAAUUGCCUUUAAGACUGCCGAGCUAGCAGGUGAGAGAGGUAAGUGGAAUUCCGAGUGUAGAGGUGAAAUUCGUAGAUAUUCGGAAGAACACCAGUGGCGAAGGCGGCUUACUGGCUCAUACUGGACGCUGAGGUGCGAAAGCGUGGGGAGCAAACAGGAUUAGAUACCCCUGUAGUCCCUGUCUCUUAUAC